GUCCCUUGCUUUACGAAAGCACAGAAUGCAUUCCUUUUGUUUAUCUGCCCAUUCUUUUAGUGUUUCCAAAUCCGAGCCAUUUUCCAUCAUAUAUUGCAUAGUGUUGUCCUUGGAUAGUUCAAGUCGUUUUAUGAUUUCCCCAAGUUUCCCAUACGCCAUGACUGUAUCAUCCAGAUUGUUCGUUGCUAUAAGGUCUUCAGCCUCCGACAAGUUUAUUUUCGCAAGUGCCACCUGUUUGUCAUGUUUUGCUUCAGUUGCCAUAUUGUCUCAAAUACAGUACCGACUGUUGAGUAAAGUGUGCGAAAUUCAAAACUCAAUCUAAUUUUGUUGUAACAAUAUGUCAGUUUGUUGUUUAUUAUAUGCUCCCCUCUUUGGAAAUCCACAACAUUAAAUGUAAUAGUAUUAAAAACCAAGUUCCAAGUUAUUUAUCACUUCACUGUAUUGAUAUCUUGAAUUUAAGCAAUGUUAUACUCCACUGUCAACGCUCCAGUCCAUAUAAAACCCAAUAUUAAAAGAUUGUUACUCAUGUACGUGAUGUAAGACAAACGUUAUGUCCCCAAAUAUCUUGUUGUCGACAAAAUAUAUAAACACCGAUUUCCAAUGAAAAAUAGUCAAGUUAAUCCAAAACUGUGUAGUUUUUUAAACGAUAUAAUGAGAACCCACGAUAAAUAAACGCUUUAGUAAUUGAAAUAUAUCCACAAAAUUAAUAGAAAAUGUACUCACAGUUCCAUAUCCACUGCUAAUUCCCACAAACAAUCCUUCGCAAUCCGAUCGUAAAUAUAAAACAAAUGAUGAAAUUUCCCGUUAAUUAUCCUGCCGAUGGGUCGCCACUUUCAGUGUGGUGAAUUCCGGUCCGUUCACACUGAAUAAAUCACAUUUUUGAGUUAUUUUUACUUCUUUAUUUAAAACUAAAUAAUAUCAUAAAAGUUCUCGAACACACCACAAACACGAU